UACGUAGGGGGCAAGCGUUGUCCGGAUUUAUUGGGCGUAAAGAGCGUGUAGGCGGCUUGGAAGGUCAGCUGUGAAAACUCGAGGCUCAACCUCGAGACGUCGGUUGAAACCACCUGGCUAGAGUCCGGAAGAGGAGAGUGGAAUUCCCGGUGUAGCGGUGAAAUGCGCAGAUAUCGGGAAGAACACCCGUGGCGAAGGCAAUCCCCUGGGCCUGCACUGACGCUCAUGCACGAAAGCGUGGGGAGCAAACAGG
rnacentral:rRNA from 1 species